rnacentral:rRNA from 1 species
CGCGUAGGCGGUCUCUUAAGUCAGAUGUGAAAGCCCGGGGCUUAACCUCGGAAGUGCAUUUGAAACUAAGGGACUUGAGUAUGGGAGAGGGAAGUGGAAUUCCUGGUGUAGCGGUAAAAUGCGUAGAUAUCAGGAGGAACACCGGUGGCGAAGGCGACUUCCUGGACCAAUACUGACGCUGAGGCGCGAAGGCGUGGGGAGCAAACAGGAUUAGAUACCCUGGUAGUCC